rnacentral:rRNA from 1 species
GAUGAACGCUGGCGGCGUGCUUAACACAUGCAAGUCGAACGGGAUCCAAGGGGUGCUUGCACUUUUUGGUGAGAGUGGCGAACGGGUGAGUAACACGUGAGUAACCUGUCCUUUUCUUUGGGAUAAGCAUUCGAAAGGGUGUUUAAUACCUUAUGUUCUGUCUGCCUCGCAUGGGGUGGGUGGUAAAGGCUUUGGCCGGAUUUGGGUGGGCUCGCGGUCUAUCAGCUUGUUGGUGGGGUGAUGGCUUACCAAGGCUUUGACGGGUAGCCGGCCUGAGAGGGUGGUCGGUCAGAUUGGGACUGAGAUACGGCCCAGACUCCUGCGGGAGGCAGCAGUGGGGGAUAUUGCACAAUGGGCGAAAGCCUGAUGCAGCGACGCCGCGUGGGGGAUGAAGGCCUUCGGGUUGUAAACUUCUUUUGCUCUGAACAAGGCAUGCCAGUGGGUGUGUUGAGUGUAGGGGUUGAUUAGCGCCGGCUAACUACGUG